UGAAGCCUUCAAUGCCAUACAAGGUGCAUGU
rnacentral:piRNA from 1 species